UCAACAAUGUAGGCUCGGUUGKUGAUAAAAAAUGCGUUUUUUCGACGCAAACUAGAAGAAAGCAAUGCUAUGGUCAUGUCAGUCCUUGUAACAUCAAUCUUGCUCGUGCUGCUGGUGUAAGUGAAGGAGAAAACAUGUAUUUUUCAUAAAAACAAAGUUAUGAAAAGCGAUCGACGGUGCUCCUGUCCUUCGACGUGGGGACACAGCAAAACACUCCACAAACAUCCAAUUCCAACACGAAUGUUUAGAAUUUUGGACACAGCUGGUGAAAAGAAAAAUGAAUAUAAACCUGGCACAAGAUGGUGCCACAAAUGUCAACAGAAUGCGGACGCAAAGUUAACGGCGAAAGAUGAAACGCCGACUGCGAAGACAUUGAGAAAAAGGGUUUCCGACCAAAUCAUCGAUAACAACUAUGUCAAAACACGAAGGAGACUACAAUAUGACAAUAAUAUAAACCAUCAGGUAAAUAAAAAU